rnacentral:misc_RNA from 1 species
AAGUCGUAACAAGGUUUCCGUAGGUGAACCUGCGGAAGGAUCAUUAUGAAAUUUGAUUGAGAUGAGUGUGAAGCGGUGUGGUGAGGGGGCAUGCAUUUGCAUGUUGCCUGCCGCACUGAAAUGCGAAAAUGUGUGAUGUGCUUAUAAUCAAAAAACAACUUUUAACAAUGGAUCUCUUGGCUCUC